AGGGCCCUACACAGACCCGCACUGACCUGGAAAAGCUUCGGGAGCGGCGACGGGAAGGCAGCAGGAGGUGGUGCGGGGACCCGAGGCGCCUCGUACCCGGCCGGGCUGACGCGGCCCCGCUACACACAAAGCGCUUCAGCUGCACAGGGCGCUAUUUUCCGAAAAUGCCGCGUCUGGUCGGCGCCCAAAAUCCCCACCGAAAAGUCCCCCGUGCUGCGCGCGGAGGGACACAUGGUGUGCGAGUGAGUCAAGCUCCCAGCAUCCCUCCCGGACCCGGCCCUCUUCAGCUCAUCGCCCGAGGAUUUUCCGCCUCUGCCCUCGUCGGCAGAUCCUGCUCCUACCCACUCCCUAGCUGUGUUCCCGCGGGGAGAGAGGGGAAAGAGGGUCUGAUUUUUUAACGAAGGGAAAGAAAAUAUGCCAUUUCUAGCGCUUCAGCCACACAAAGAAAGCGGCGGAAUGAUCCGCUCUCGGCGACCGCAAGUCCCGGCUCGCCCGGCGCCUGCGCGGCAGCGGGGGUGGGAGCUGCGGACGGCCAUGUGCGCGGCGGAGAGGCCGGGUGGCCACCGAACCUUCCCGCCUGUUCUGCGGUGGGUAGGAGUUUGGAAACUAAUGUUCCUGUGCUAACCUUCGUGUCUCUGUGACAUGACUGUUGAAAGACGGAGAGUGCGGAAUCUUUGGAGUUUUAAGCUUGCCAACUGUGCGGCCUAGCAGAAUCCUGGGAGACGGAAGGACAGCCAAGAGGCUAGGAUUUACCUUUAAGUGUCCCUAGAUUCAACUAGGCAGACUGGGACGGGAGACGCUGUGAAGGUACCAGGGAAGGAACGAGUGAGGUUCCUUUUCCACUUUUUCAUAAACUCAACAGUCAGGUUCAUGACGAAGAUAUAGAUAUUUCUGUAGAUUUUUUCCCCAACAUUCUAAUUAUGCCUCAUGUUUCGUAGAUCCUAGUAACUGCUUGGAUUACUGCCACCUCAGAGGUAGAGAUCUGUUUUUCCGUGGCUGGAAUGCCAAAAAUUUUGUUGUAUUUUAUUAAGAAAGUAGCAAAAGUUUGGAGAUUUGCAAAGUUAAAAAAAAAAAAAGCAUUAUGAACUUAAUCUAGAUGUGAUUUGCUAAGGAACUUAAUAUAUUGAUAUGUUUUUCACAGGGGCGUCUGGGCAUGGCUUUCCCAACCUAGUAACUGCAACUUUUAGCAUCCUACAUGUAGGACUUGGGAAUAUGUGAGACAGCGCCAAGAAUUUAAUCCAGGAGAAUUGACAAGCUUAAAUGAAAUCCAUAUUGCCCACUGAUUUUGUGCAGCUUCAGAUAAGUAAUCUUUCUCCACUUAGCCUUUUGUAACAAUUGAUGUAAUAAAGGUUUGUAGUCUUUGUGUAAUUUAUUAAAGCAUUGUGCCUAAAAUAGAAAAAAAGCAUAGGAACCAUAGGCUGUGUUUUCUUUUGAUUUAAUAUUUUCAUUUCUUCAGUUAAUAGAAAUUUGCCAAAUUCU
rnacentral:lncRNA from 1 species